CCCUCUUGCCCGUUUCUGUUUAGAAGGAGGAUAUUUGAAGGGUAUUGAGCUUGCACAGCCAUUGAUCGAUAUAUGGAAGGAUUGAGAGAAACAGAGAGACAGAGAGAUAGAAAAAUGAAACUUCGGUGCGUAUGUGUAUUGGGGUAAGGAGAACAAAUAAGAGGGAAGGAAGGAAGGAAGGAAAGGGAAUGGUAAAUGAAGUUAUGGAGCAAUGUGAAAGGCAGCAAU
rnacentral:misc_RNA from 1 species